rnacentral:rRNA from 1 species
CGGAACAUGUCCUGUAGUGGGGGAUAGCCAGGCGAAAGCCGGAUUAAUACCGCAUACGAUCUGAGGAUGAAAGCGGGGGACCUUCGGGCCUCGCGCUAUAGGGUUGGCCGAUGGCUGAUUAGCUAGUUGGUGGGGUAAAGGCCUACCAAGGCGACGAUCAGUAGCUGGUCUGAGAGGACGACCAGCCACACUGGGACUGAGACACGGCCCAGACUCCUACGGGAGGCAGCAGUGGGGAAUUUUGGACAAUGGGCGAAAGCCUGAUCCAGCAAUGCCGCGUGUGUGAAGAAGGCCUUCGGGUUGUAAAGCACUUUUGUCCGGAAAGAAAUCCUUGGUUCUAAUAUAGCCGGGGGAUGACGGUACCGGAAGAAUAAGCACCGGCUAACUACGUGCCAGCAGCCGCGGUAAUACGUANGGUGCAAGCGUUAAUCGGAAUUACUGGGCGUAAAGCGUGCGCAGGCGGUUUGCUAAGACCGAUGUGAAAUCCCCGGGCUC